rnacentral:rRNA from 1 species
GAUGAACGCUAGCUACAGGCUUAACACAUGCAAGUCGCGGGGCAGCAUGGGGGUUGCUUGCAAUCCCCGAUGGCGACCGGCGCACGGGUGAGUAACGCGUAUUCAACCUGCCCUUCACCACGGGAUAACCCGGCGAAAGUCGGACUAAUACCGUAUGUUGUCCAUUGACGGCAUCCGAUUUGGACGAAAGGCUUGGCGGUGAGGGAUGGGGAUGCGUCCGAUUAGCCAGACGGCGGGGUAACGGCCCACCGUGGCUACGAUCGGUAGGGGUUCUGAGAGGAAGGUCCCCCACACUGGAACUGAGACACGGUCCAGACUCCUACGGGAGGCAGCAGUGAGGAAUAGUGGUCAAUGGGCGUAAGCCUGAACCAGCCAAGUAGCGUGCAGGAUGACGGCCCUAUGGGGUGUAAACUGCUUUUAUGCGGGGAUAAAGUGGCCCACGUGUGGGCUUUUGCAGGUACCGCAUGAAUAAGGACCGGCUAAUUCCGU